AGAUUGAACGCUGGCGGCAUGCCUUACACAUGCAAGUCGAACGGCAGCACGGGAGCAAUCCUGGUGGCGAGUGGCGAACGGGUGAGUAAUAUAUCGGAACGUGCCCAGUAAUGGGGGAUAGCCCGGCGAAAGCCGGAUUAAUACCGCAUACGACCUACGGGUGAAAGCGGGGGAUCGCAAGACCUCGCGUUAUUGGAGCGGCCGAUAUCAGAUUAGCUUGUUGGUGGGGUAAAAGCCCACCAAGGCGACGAUCUGUAGCUGGUCUGAGAGGACGACCAGCCACACUGGGACUGAGACACGGCCCAGACUCCGUACGGGAGGCAGCAGGUGGGGAAUUUGGACAAGUGGGCGCGAAGCCUAGAUCCAGCCAUCGCCGCGUGGUGGGAAGAAGGUCCUUACGGGUUGUAAACC
rnacentral:rRNA from 1 species